rnacentral:rRNA from 1 species
GAUGAACGCUGGCGGCGUGCCUAAUACAUGCAAGUCGAGCGAACAGACGAGGAGCUUGCUCCUCUGACGUUAGCGGCGGACGGGUGAGUAACACGUGGAUAACCUACCUAUAAGACUGGGAUAACUUCGGGAAACCGGAGCUAAUACCGGGUAAUAUAUUGAACCGCAUGGUUCAAUAGUGAAAGACGGUUUUGCUGUCACUUAUAGAUGGAUCCGCGCCGCAUUAGCUAGUUGGUAAGGUAACGGCUUACCAAGGCAACGAUGCGUAGCCGACCUGAGAGGGGGAGCGGCCACAAGGGAGGUUAAACACGGUACUGGCGCCUGCGGGAGGCAGCAGUAGGGAAUGUGCGGCAAUGGGCGAGAGUCUGACAAAGUGAGGCCAAGUGAGAGAAGAAGAUCUUCGGAUCGUAAGGCUGUGUUAUGGGGUGAGAACAAAUGGGGAAUGAACUAAGCACGUCUUGACGGUACUUAAUAAGAAAGCAACGGCUAACUACGUG